GACGAACUUUGGCGGCGUGCUUAACACAUGCAAGUCGAACGGAAAGGCCCUGCUUUUGUGGGGUGCUCGAGUGGCGAACGGGUGAGUAACACGUGAGUAACCUGCCCUUGACUUUGGGAUAACUUCAGGAAACUGGGGCUAAUACCGGAUAGGAGCUCCUGCUGCAUGGUGGGGGUUGGAAAGUUUCGGCGGUUGGGGAUGGACUCGCGGCUUAUCAGCUUGUUGGUGGGGUAGUGGCUUACCAAGGCUUUGACGGGUAGCCGGCCUGAGAGGGUGACCGGCCACAUUGGGACUGAGAUACGGCCCAGACUCCUACGGGAGGCAGCAGUGGGGAAUAUUGCACAAUGGGCGGAAGCCUGAUGCAGCAACGCCGCGUGCGGGAUGACGGCCUUCGGGUUGUAAACCGCUUUCGCCUGUGACGAAGCGUGAGUGACGGUAAUGGGUAAAGAAGCACCGGCUAACUACGUGCCAGCAGCCGCGGUGAUACGUAGGGUGCGAGCGUUGUCCGGAUUUAUUGGGCGUAAAGGGCUCGUAGGUGGUUGAUCGCGUCGGAAGUGUAAUCUUGGGGCUUAACCCUGAGCGUGCUUUCGAUACGGGUUGACUUGAGGAAGGUAGGGGAGAAUGGAAUUCCUGGUGGAGCGGUGGAAUGCGCAGAUAUCAGGAGGAACACCAGUGGCGAAGGCGGUUCUCUGGGCCUUUCCUGACGCUGAGGAGCGAAAGCGUGGGGAGCGAACAGGCUUAGAUACCCUGGUAGUCCACGCUGUAAACGGUGGGUACUAGGUGUGGGGUCCAUUCCACGGGUUCCGUGCCGUAGCUAACGCUUUAAGUACCCCGCCUGGGGAGUACGGCCGCAAGGCUAAAACUCAAAGGAAUUGACGGGGCCCCGCACAAGCGGCGGAGCAUGCGGAUUAAUUCGAUGCAACGCGUAGAACCUUACCUGGGUUUGACAUGGAUCGGGAGUGCUCAGAGAUGGGUGUGCCUCUUUUGGGGUCGGUUCACAGGUGGUGCAUGGCUGUCGUCAGCUCGUGUCGUGAGAUGUUGGGUUAAGUCCCGCAACGAGCGCAACCCUUGUUCACUGUUGCCAGCACGUUAUGGUGGGGACUCAGUGGAGACCGCCGGGGUCAACUCGGAGGAAGGUGGGGAUGACGUCAAGCCAUCAUGCCCCUUAUGUCCAGGGCUUCACGCAUGCUACAAUGGCUGGUACAGAGAGUGGCGAGCCUGUGAGGGUGAGCGAAUCUCGGAAAGCCGGUCUCAGUUCGGAUUGGGGUCUGCAACUCGACCUCAUGAAGUCGGAGUCGCUAGUAAUCGCAGAUCAGCAACGCUGCGGUGAAUACGUUCCCGGGGCU
rnacentral:rRNA from 1 species